UCGUACAUCUGUGCAUAUAAAGAACCAGCCAGCAGCAAUAGCAACAGCAGUCGAGUCCGUCUGGCUGCUCUGACUUUUAGGUUUGGUUAAAUAUUUUCGAAGGACACAUUUUUUCCACACACAUUGGCAUUGAAUUGAAUUAACUUAUUUCAAGGAAAUUGUCUCGAAUUCACAUAUAACGAAGUCUAUCAUGCUGCCCAGUGUGUGUCGUCGUGUCUGCUUUGCCUUGGGCUUGUGUUAAAGGUUUGGCCUGCUGGAUGGUGUUGUACUUUUGCUACUUAUAAGCUGCUAAAGCUGAUAUAAAUGCUGGUGCUGGUUCUGGUUCUGUGGUGCUCGAAGUCUGUCAUGAUGAUGAUGAUGGUGCUUUAGCAGUCGCCUAUAAUACCUUAUGUGUGAUGGAGUGCGCCAUAAUAGCACGUCCUUGUCGGAACACUGGAUUAACAGCAUCAAAUUCCCAACUUUUUGAGAAGGGAAUUAGGAGCAGGGGUAGGGGGAGUGUGGAGGUGGAGAGGAAUUAUCGUAGCUAGACACAGACGGAUGAAUUCUUGUCUGCUGCGUGGAAGAUUGAUACACCACCACCAUCACCAGUAGCUGUAACAGCAGCAGCAGCAGCAGCAGCAGCAGCAGCAGCAGCAGCAGCAGCAGCAACAGAGCAACAGAGUCCCUUUUAUUUUUUUGUUUUGGGUUUUUUUUUGUCAAAGGACAGACGUUCACUUUCCAAGAGGUCGGAUGAAUGGACAUUAGAAAAAUGAUUAAAGUACUGCUUGACGGUGCAGCCAAGUGGAGUAAAUGAAAGAGGUGCUUAAGAGUUGCGCACACAGGAGAUUUUUUCCUGUAGCAGCCAUCAGGCAGAGGACCAGAUAAAGCGUAGCAUCAUAUCAGAAUCUAAUAUCGAGAAAACCCAAAAUACUGAAAAGUAAAAACAAGAAGAUUAAAUCUUGGGACAUACAAUUUUUGAAAUAUUGGUAAUUCACAAUUUUUGAACAUAAAAAAUUGAUAUCCAACAACCAGGAAAAAAAUACCCUUUAACAAACAUGCAUCGAAACAAAAUUGAUUGGAGUGAGAUUUCUUGAAUGAAUAUACUGCUGCUGGCCAAAAAAAAACUGGCUUCAAUUGAAUUAGAUUUUAUGUGAGUGGAAUCAAAGUAAGUGACUCGAAAAUGGUAUAGGUACUGGCCAGAGGUAUAAUGAAAUUUUUGUUAGCUGCCAAGGGAUUUUAUAUAUAUCUAAAUAAAAACGAAUUUGAUUAUGAACACGUACAGAGAGAUGUAUUAUGCUUAACUUAUGUAUGUUUUGUACAAGAGUUGUGGGCUAAGGCAGAUUAGGAACCUUUGAUGGGAUAAACGAAAAGAAUUUGACUUUGAGAAUAACUUUGGUUUUUAUGUGUUCAUUUUUUUUUUAUCUCAUUAAAUAUUUCAUGGAAUCAGUGUUCAGGUACAUAAAAAAAACUUUUCAUGUUAUUCUACACUUAA